CACGUAGGGGGCGAGCGUUGUCCGGAUUUAUUGGGCGUAAAGAGCUCGUAGGCGGCUUUGUCAGUCGGGUGUGAAACCUCCAGGCUCAACCUGGAGCCGCCACCCGAUACUGCAAUAGCUAGAGUCCGGUAGGGGAGCAUGGAACUCCUGGUGUAGCGGUGAAAUGCGCAGAUAUCAGGAAGAACACCAAUGGCGAAAGCAGCUCUCUGGGACGGUACUGACGCUGAGGAGCGAAAGCGUGGGGAGCGAACAGG
rnacentral:rRNA from 1 species